GCCAACAACCAUAUCACCCUAAAGCUCUUAACUGGCUACCCACUGAAGCUAAGCAGGGAUGAGCCUGGUCAGUACCUGGAUGGGACACCUCCUGGGAUGCUAUGGUUGCUGCUGAAA
rnacentral:rRNA from 1 species